rnacentral:lncRNA from 1 species
AUUAUCAUGGCUACUAGCCAUCAAACAGCUUCUUUCUUUGCAGUGUCCCUUGAAGCAAAAUACAGUGACACACCGGCAUUCAGGUAAGUUCUCUGAUUGUCUUUCUCGGAUAGGCCUGUGUCUGAUAUUCGUGAAUUAGGCAUCCAAAUCUGCAAUACCAAAAUCAUGUGGUAACAAGCAAUGUUAAUAUUGAUUCAUGUACUUGGUCAAUGUGAGGUUAACAUUCUAUGGUAGUAUUUUUUGUUAUUUUGAAAUGAGUUGUGAGAUUUUCUUUUUGGUGUAUGUAGGUACUUUAUGAUUGCCAAUGCCAUUGUGAGUGUAUAUGGUUUUCUGGUUCUGUUUCUUCCCACAGACAGCAUGCUCUGGCGAUUGGUUGUUGCCUUGGAUUUGGUAAUUAUACACAACCUGAAAUUCUCUUCUCUUUUCUCUUGCAAGGCUUAUUUCCUGUUAUACAAACCCAAUCAUGCAGUUAUGUGUUUAUUUUACUUGAAAUAAACAAUCAUGCAUCUGUUUAUACGCAUAUAUAUAUGUACAUAUGCGUAUUUUAUAUUGCUGCUUUUUACCAAGCUGUAAAACGAACCAGGUCAAAGAGGAGUUUUUGCUUCCAGGCCAUUGUUAGGCCAUUGCUGGAACCCCAUUUGAAAGGGUGCUCCAAUGACACUCAAUGCCACUUGACCUGAGUAGCUCAGAUAAGAAAUAACAUACUUUUUUUUCGGGAUAUAUACCCUAAAAGCACCUGCAUUUUUUUCAAAAUUCAUAUUAACUGCUGCAAUAAUUUUUUGUUCAAAUACAACCUGUAUUUUCAAAUUUGUCUAAACUAAUCUUUAUCGUUAACAAUGUAUCAUUUAACACCAUUUAAUAGAUAUCUACAUGGCAAAUGAGUGGCUACAUAGAUAUUUUCAGAAGUCAUAUGGAAAAUGAAAUUUCGUGCGUGAAAGAUAGAAGAAAGGGAAGAAAAUAAAAACUGCAAGCAUAGCAGCCAUGCUGACAACGUUUUCAAAAGUGGUCAGUGUGCCAGUCACAUCGCAAACAUGCUAGUUGUUUUUUAAAAUAUAAUGUCUACUUGGCAACGUCGUCUGCCACAUGAUAAUCUAUUAAACAAUGUUAAAUACACUGUUAACAAUGGGGGCUAAUUUAGACAUGAAAAUAUGAGUUUGUAUUUGAAACAAAAAUUAUUAUAGGAGCCAAUAUAGAUUUGUUGAAAAGUACAGGUACUUUGGGUAUCUAUCCCCUUCUUUUUCCCCUCAGCUCUAUAUAAAAAAACCCAUAACUCAGACAGAAAAGACAUUAAAAUGGAGAAUAGUAUUAACCACUCAACCAAAAAAAAGAAAGAGAGAAGUACUAACCUUACAACCAAGAAAAAGUCAAGAAAAUAUUGUGCAUAAAAAUAGCUAUAUAUAUAUACAAAGAAAAUCAUGAAACUCUUAAAGUACAUCACCAUAUUUUCUGGUAAUCUUGGACGUGACUGCGAAUUACUGUCAGUGUUAUUGACUUAUAGUAAUUAUUAGUUAAUUGAUAUCAUCUGGUGUGCAGGUUUUCACAAUGUUACUGACUUCAAGCAUCUCAGCAGCAUUAGCAAUAGCUCAAGUGGGAAAGAAAGGGAAUGCUAAUGCAGGAUGGUUGCCCAUCUGUGGGCAAGUGCCAAAAUACUGUCACCAAGUAACAGGAGCUUUAGCUGCUGGCUUCAUUGGAGUUGUCAUACACAUGCUUCUCCUCCUUUAUUCAAUCCAUACUGUUCUAAAUCCACUUCUUGUUCAAAAGACCUAAAUCUCUCUCUCUCUCUCUCUCUCUGACUUAAUUAAAAGGGCCCUUUUUAUUAUAUAGCUCUCAAUGAUGGAAUUCAGUUUUAUCUCAUCUUCUUUGUUUUGUAAUUUUCUCGUGUUUUGCUUCUUCUUCUUGAUUUCCUCAAGCCUUUGAUGGUUUAAUCUCUGUGUCACUUUUUUGGCUUCUGUUUGGUGAUUUUCAUAUGGAGAAAGUAUAGUCACAUCCUUAAAUUUUGAGCCUAAUUACAGUUCAAUCAAUGAAUUCUAAUCCAAAGGCAACAUCAGCUGUAUAUUUUUCAAAAAAUAAUCUAUAAGAUACAGAUUCACCCAUGUGAUUUCACUCUAUUGCAAUUUAAAUUCAACUUCUGUUUUUUCUUACACACUGUCAUUAGAAAUUUAUAAGCUAAAGUAUUACAAUGCAUAACUAAACUAUAAUGAUGCCCAAUCUAUUGUCGACUUUCAAGACAUUGCACUUUGCAAUAACAGCAUAGUGAGUUAGGGUUUUUCACCAAAGUCAAACCCAUCACAAUCCCUUAGAAAACCUCACCAUCUACUGUCGGUUAACAGGCUGAUGAGCUGUGAACCGAAAGGCAACAAGUUAUUACAGAGGAUCACAUAAUUGUUUGCAGUUACAUAAAAGGGUCUCAUGAUAUAAUUAUGGACAAGUUUUUUAACAUAAAACAGUUAUUAUUAACAGCUAACUGAGUUACAUCAAAACUCUAUCUCAACAAGGGUAGUGGUGCCAAUUUCCACAUGUUCAUCAUGAUAACCAUAUCCAUUUCAACAGAAUGGACUAUCAAAAUCUGUUAAAGGUUCCCAGUUCCUCUAAUCUCUCAUUUUUCUAAACCAAUCACAACAGAGAAUGUAGCUGGGAUGAGGCUCUUUUAUUACAACUCAAUUACUCGAGUUUGAAUCUAUCCCUACCUUGUGGGGGAAAAAAAAAAAGGAGAGAGACUCUUCCACCACAUGGUAAAGGAAUAAUUGCAAGUCUGGGAGAGAAUUUAUCAGAUAGACAAAAGAAUUUUGUGAAGGGUGCAAGAAGCAGUACUAUAUGAAUAUCAUACAAUUUUAAUAUCAAAAUCACUCAGCAAACUGCAAUUCGGCUUAUCAGGGGGAGUGUAUAUAUAAAGUUUCUUGAUCAAAACAUUAGUACUCAAAGCACACAGUUCUAAUUUACGGGCACAAAAUUGGGCUAAACAAAAAAUAAUUCAAUAUUAAACAGCACAGAAAUCUUGCGGAAAAUCAGGCUGCUAACUAAAAUUCAAAAUAAUUACAAAAAACUUUGUUCUUAACUGGACUAAUAUUAUGUUACCUUGGCUUGCUCCACCAUAAUUUUCCUUGAAGAAACAAAGCUUUCUACACGUGUAGUUGCUCCAAGAAAAUUUUGCAUAAUAACGGCUUCUUCUUCCUCCUCCUCCUCCUCCUCCGGAUCUUCUCCAACAUACCAGAUCUAUAGAAAAAGUAAGUUCAGGUGGCAGAUGAAUCCAUUCAAAUUCCUAGCUAGUAAGCUUGAAACCCUAGAUGUUCUUAGCAUUUUGCAAGCUUUUUCACCCUCGCCGAUGGUCACAGCAAUUCUUGAGACCUUCUCGUCGCUGUCGCUGUCGCUGUCGGCCAUUGUUUUCCUGCCUGUGCGUGCUCCACCGUACGGUAACCCAUCACGGUAAAUUUAUAGGUUUCUUUCUUGUCGUUUCACUCCAAUUUUGUAAAUAAAAUUACUUCUACAAGACUUUAUAUAUGUUAAUU